AGCGGAAGGCCCUUCGGGGUACUCGAGCGGCGAACGGGUGAGUAACACGUGAGCAACCUGCCCCAGGCUUUGGGAUAACCCCGGGAAACCGGGGCUAAUACCGAAUAUGACCUCUGACCGCAUGGUUGGUGGUGGAAAGUUUUUCGGCUUGGGAUGGGCUCGCGGCCUAUCAGCUUGUUGGUGGGGUGAUGGCCUACCAAGGCGACGACGGGUAGCCGGCCUGAGAGGGCGACCGGCCACACUGGGACUGAGACACGGCCCAGACUCCUACGGGAGGCAGCAGUGGGGAAUAUUGCACAAUGGGCGGAAGCCUGAUGCAGCGACGCCGCGUGAGGGAUGACGGCCUUCGGGUUGUAAACCUCUUUCAGCAGGGACGAAGCGUAAGUGACGGUACCUGCAGAAGAAGCGCCGGCCAAUUACUUGCCAGCAGCCGCGGUAAGACGUAGGGCGCGAGCGUUGUCCCCCACUUAUUGGGCGUAAAGAGCUCGUAGGCGGCUUGUCGCGUCGACCGUGAAAACUUGGGGCUCAACCCCAAGCCUGCGGUCGAUACGGGCAGGCUAGAGUUCGGUAGGGGAGACUGGAAUUCCUGGUGUAGCGGUGAAAUGCGCAAAUAUUCAGGAGGAACACCGGUGGCGAAGGC
rnacentral:rRNA from 1 species